AUAUAUAUAUAUAUACGUAUAAAAUAAAUCCAUACGAGUGGAAAGAUGUAGCUGUUAAAGUUCUCCAAAUGUUGAAACUGUGGAAAUGUGGAGGACAGCUGGAAAAAACUUAAGCGUGGCUUUCCUAUAUGUCUGUUAUAAUGAGUGCCUGGCAAAGGAAGACAGAAAGCAGUUUUAUUUCUGACAAGAGCUAUUUAAGAAGCACUUCAUAUUUUUAGUAAUUUUCAAGUAACUCAAGAGGAGGCCAGCUAUGAAACUCUAUGAGUGAAUUUACUGCUCUCCAUGUAAAAGGGAAAUGUACCGAUAAUAUGCUCUCGGGCAGAGUAGAAAAAUGAAGAUAAAGCAUCUGAAAGGUUUGUUAUUUUGGGGACCUGAGUCCUGGCAAAGAGAUCAGCUUCAAAACUAAGAUGACAACACAUUUUCUGACGUGUUUUGUGAAAACUCCAAGAAACUUAUCAAUGUACACUUAUUUGCCCUGGCUGCCAAGCAUUAUUCUUUGCCUAACCUUGGAGUGUGUACCCCAUUAGAAGAGAUACUUGAAGCGCUGAGAGGAGACAGCCAAGGAGCAAGCGGUAUAUUUACAUUUAUAUUUCAGUUUUUAUUCUCUCACUACAGGAUCUGCAGAGUUUUUGUUCCAGAGGGUGGAUUUGUGUUGUUUUUUUUUGUUUUUGUUUUGUUUUGUUUUGUUCUUGCAUGCAUUUCUUUCCUGCAUGCUUCUCAACUUCAAAUCUCAUUUGUUCUCAGAUAAUUUCUUCACUGCCAUUUUUUAGAAAGUGGCUUCUUGUGCUUAAACUUCAGCAGAGGGGUGACAGCAUUCAGACUUUCGCUGAGAUUCUCCCCGUUUCAAAGGGGUGGAGGUAGGCAAUCAGGCACAUCAUUAUUUCAUAUGCAGAUGAAAUAUCUUGUUAAUUCCCUUUGUUUUUCUUCUCCCACAGCAACACAAAUUAUGACUGCUAGUAUUGGGUUUUUUGUUUGUUUUUAAGUCUUAGCCUGAAGUCAGGCAGCCAUACCUCUUCAGGAGCUGUUUUUUUGCACACAACUUUUGUUUAAUGUUAGACAUGUGCUUGGGCAUUUAACUGAAUAUGGUCCAGUAAGAGUCUGAUAUUUCAAAAGAAGCUGAUUUUAUUCAUUCUGUAUUUUUUUUACCAGUACCAAAUAUGUGUCCUAAAAUUAGAGUAGGUUCAUUUUCUGUACAUGAAGAGAUUGGCUGAAAACACUCUCAAGGUGGUAUCUUUACAUCAGAAGUUUUUCCUCUAAUUUUUUUGUUUGUUUGUUUUGGGCGAUGAGCUUACAUUUAUGCUUUGAUUACUGUCAUUUUCACUGCAUCUGUUUUUAAUGGAAUCUUCAGUCAUAGCUUUCUCACCAUCUUUCAGAUUUCUCAUUAGUUUUUCAGAGGCAGACUCUAAGCCAGUAGCCUUUGCUUUCUAGUGUGUUUUGUCACUGUAAUAAGUUAAAAUGCCUCUGAUGUUUCCCAUCCUAAGUGAUAGCAACAUUAGGCAUCUCUCCUGUUUUCUACAGCAAUCUUCUCUGUCCAAUUUUGCCAUUUUUCAUAUUUGUCUCCCCAGUUUUAGAUUUCUUCAGGAUUACUGAAGCAGCUCAAAUAGUCUUAAUGGUUUGUUGUGCAUUGAUCUUGCUGUAAGUUUAGUUCCUGACUUCUUUCCUUCUGCUGUUUUUCCGCCUGAAGCCUUUUUUCCUUGUUUGACAGCUGUGUGCUGCUUUCCUUUUGCUUACUCUUUAUCUAUUAGCAUUUUCGUUAUGUUCUCAUUCUCUGUGUUCUGCUUAAUUUUCAGUAAUUCUGUAGUUCUUCCUUGUUAUAUAUGUACUUGAGUUCAUGCUUGGAUUAACUUUCUCAAGCAAAAAUACAAGGAUUCUUUCAUCUUUUUCUCAUGCAGAAUGAAACAUAGAAUAAGGCAAUUGCUAAUUAUUUUGUUCUGUGUCUUGAAGGAGUUCUGCUUUGUUGGGUAGCUGGGAUCUGGGUUUGUGGUGUAGUUAUUCUAAUGGUACUUUACUGAGAAAAUAAAAUGUUCUAAUGUUCUGAACAUAAACAAUGGUAUUAUAAUUCAAAGCCUUUGUGUUGAACUGGCAAAGUAUCAGUUAAAUUAACUCACUUGCAUAAAUUAACUGCUUGUGUAGUUCUCUAACUUCUAUAGCAUAUUGAUGCAGACAUAUUACUAUUCUUACUUAGAAUGAUUACCUGAAAAGGUUAGUUCCAAAAUUUAAAUGUAAUCUGAAUGUGAAGUGUUUUUUCCACUCCUUCCUAAUGAAGUUCUCUGGGGCCCUCAUUGCCCCACUGGGUUGCUCGUGUUGAGCACAAGGAUCCAGAAGACCUGGCCCAAGAGGAGCAAGCUAGUAAGGACAAUUUCUCUUUUAUACCUGACAUAAGGAGAGAGGCUUGCUAAAAUAUUGAAAUAAUAGUACUUUCUACCUUUUCAGCGUGUUUAUGCCCUAUGUAAUAGUCAUGCAAUUGUUAAUAAAUCUAUCUUUAAAUUGCAUGGACUGUCUCAAUGAUUUUUCACAUAUGGUCAUCCUAAUCCCUGCUAGUCUUGGCUGAUGAAAUUAAAUUGCAGUACUGUAACUUCUGUAUAGAUAGUGUUGUAAAUUAUGAAUGGACUGAAAAUUUGUUUUUAAUCUGGUAUAUCUGAAUUUCCACAGGUAGCAAGGGUAUAAAAGAUCUGGAAGAUCUGCAUUAGGCAGAUCAUAUAUGAAAUGCAGUCUCUCCUCAUUUUGUCUAGGUCAGAACUAAACAUGUGGGUACAAAUAGCACUGUAGAGUUAAAGCAGUUUUUCAAUUGGAAAAUGUCUACUUACGCUAGGGUUCACAAAGUAAGCAAGCAACAUUUCAGUACUACUUAGACAUUAAGUGCUCCUUUACUCUAUAAUAUCCAGAAUACUUCUGUGAAGUAUUGGAGCCUCGCUUUCUUCUUAGGCCACGGAAGGAUGUUUUGGGCAUCUAAACCAGACCUCAAAGAGAUGGUUUUUUUUCCUAUUAGAUUGACAUAUGUUUGCUUGUUUGUCAAAAUAAUGUAAAAACAGACAAACACAAAGCUGUCGCAAUCAACAUUUAGCAGAAAACCCAGCAAAAAUAAAACUAAUAAAAAUAAUCUUCUGCAAGCAGUGUAAUUUUCCAUGUGCUGAAAUCUAGGCAGUUUUCAUUCUGCGAAAUGUAGGUCUAAAAAUAAUUUAGAAACUUUAGUAACUAAGGUGAUAAAUAUAUGUGUAGGUGUGAGCACACUAUUUUUUUUUACCUGGAACCUCAGUUCCUUUAAGUUGGGUCUUGUUUCAGGGUUUGCCCCUGGUGUUUGAAAUACUUUGGCUUAAGUACUGUUUGAAAUUCUACUGCAGAGUAUUACCAUGUCAGUCAUUUGAUCUUGUAUUAUAGCAAAGGAUGGAAGGUGUGAUAUGUGAUGACGGUUCAGAGUAAAGGUGCUGCUUUGGAGACCAGACAAACAAAUCUUUUAUUUCUAUAAAAAUAUUUAAUAUCUGAGUCUUCAUUUUCUCUCCUG
ensembl:lncRNA